rnacentral:rRNA from 1 species
GACGAACGCUGGCGGCGCGCUUAACACAUGCAAGUCGAGCGAAGCGGCGGACGGGUGAGUAACACGUGAGUAACCUGCCUUAGACAUUGGGCUAGCCUCGGGAAACCGGGAUUAAUACCAAAUGGUCUAAGAUGGACUCGCGUCCCAUUAGCUAGUUGGUGGGUAACGGCCCACCAAGGAGACGAUGGGUAGCCGGCCGGGGAGGUUGAACGGCCACUUUUGAGCUGAGAAACGGUCCAAACUCUACGGGAGGCAGCAGUGGUGAAUAUUGCACAGUGGAGGGAGCUCUGAUGCAGCGACGCCGCGUGAACCAAGAAGGCUGUCGAGUCGUACAGUUCUUUUAUAUGGGAAGCGGUACCAUAAGAAAAAGCCCCGGCUAACUACGUGCCAGCAGCCGCGGUAAUAC